CUGACUGCCAGAGAGGAAGGAUCUUUUCCUGGAGAUUGCUCCUUGUGGAGUUUUUGUGGACCUACAACACUGGUACCCAAGCAUCGCACCCGUUUGUGAGCCAGCCAACAUACAAGAACACAUGUGGGACUGACACAUCUACAGGCUCCAGGGCAAGGGACAAGGCAGACCACACCCCAGCUCCUCACAACCCACCCCCCUCUGGAGGGUACCCCAGCAGGAGCUGCCCUCCUCUAUCCCAAGGCCAGCAGGCUUGACAUCUGUACCACUUUUCUACAGAUGCUUCUGGGUGGCUUUAGUACCCCACCAGGAAAGGCAAGUUGUUACCUGUAGCCUUGGGAGACCUG
rnacentral:lncRNA from 1 species